GGGAGGGUACUAGGUAGAAAGGGCACCCUGUCUGUCUCAGCUGUAAUACCAGUCCAGGGGAGGGUACUAGGUAGAAAGGGCCCCCUGUCUGUCUCAGCUGUAAUACCAGUCCAGGGGAGGGUACUAGGUAGAAAGGGCCCCCUGUCUGUCUCAGCUGUAAUACCAGUCCAGGGGAGGGUACUAGGUAGAAAGGGCCCCCUGUCUGUCUCAGCUGUAAUACCAGUCCAGGGGAGGGUACUAGGUAGAAAGGGCCCCCUGUCUGUCUCAGCUGUAAUACCAGUCCAGGGGAGGGUACUAGGUAGAAAGGGCCCCCUGUCUGUCUCAGCUGUAAUACCAGUCCAGGGGAGGGUACUAGGUAGAAAGGGCCCCCUGUCUGUCUCAGCUGUAAUACCAGUCCAGGGGAGGGUACUAGGUAGAAAGGGCCCCCUGUCUGUCUCAGCUGUAAUACCAGUCCAGGGGAGGGUACACUAGGAGAUAGGUGGUGACAGACAGACAGGUUGUGUAGUCUAGGACAGGUCAGUUCCACUAGGAGACAGGUGGUGACAGACAGACAGGUUGUGUAAAUGGUGGAGGUUAGGGUCCCGUUAACCACAGUCCUGGAGUCAGAUGUUAACUCCUGUCUCUAUAAAUAGUGGAGGUUAGGGUCCCGUUAACCACAGUCCUGGAGUCAGAUGUUAACUCCUGUCUCUAUAAAUAGUGGAGGUUAGGGCCCAGUUAACCACAGUCCUGGAGU